rnacentral:tRNA from 1 species
UAAAUUGAAGCCAAAUGUUUAGGUACUUAGCUGUUAACUAAGAUCUAGUGGGAUAAAUACCCACCAAUUUAG